rnacentral:lncRNA from 1 species
CUUAACAUUGUGCAUUGGCUGUGAUUUCCCUGCAAGUACAAUAGUUUAGUGGUGAGGCUGUUGUUCAUAUCUAAUUUUACGAUCCUAACACAGUAAUUUGUUUCUCAAAUUGUGCUUUUUUUAUACCAAAAACCAACUAUUUAUCAAAAGAAUAAUCUGCACAUGUAUGACAUUAGCACAAAUGACAAAAAAUGUAUUGGUGUCUUAAGAUGGUACCCAACACUUUCACUAAAAUUAAUUUUUCUCAUUUAAUUUUCAUAAAAUUUUGUCAAAGUAUUUACUUUGAGACUUUAAUGAAAAUAUAAAUUUUUUUUUGAACCAACCAUUUUGUUAUACUAAUGUAUGCAAUGUAUAUGUUUGCAUUUUGUUUGAUUUCUCAUGAUGAGGGCCUCAGGGAAGAUUAGUUAUAUAGCUAACUGUGUAACCCUCAUAAAAUAAAGUAUUGUUGUUGUUGUUGUUGUUGUUGUCAGAAAAAUUACACUGGUUAUAUAGCAAUUUGACAAACACCAAUUUUGAUCAUUGAGAAGCUUAAUAUUCCUUUUACAACACAACGUAAUUAAAAUGUUAAGCUGACUUUACAGAGUUAUCUCCCUGUAGUGUUAGGUACCACCUUAACUAUAAUUUUGGAUUUUUUUUCGCUUACAAUGUGGAAAACAAGAAAGAAUGCAGAAACAAAUAGAUUUUCUAUUUUCCAUGUUAUGAAGGGCGAUUAAUCUAGAACAGUUAGUGACUUGCCUCCUAUAUUUCAAACUAAGACCUCUGUCUGUUAGUUCUGAUUCUUACCCUUGUGUAUGAGUUUUAUAAAAUUUUGAAGAGAAAAAUUUCAGUUUAGAGUGUUGAGACAAAAUAAAUUACAAUAUUUUCCAGUUAUGAAGAGGCAUAACUCUAAACCAAGAAGUGACUCAGUAACCAAAUUCAAACUCUGAGUAUUGUGUACGAGUUUCAAAAAAUUUGGAUGAAGAAUACCUAAGUUAGAGUUGGGGAUAGGAAAAUGGGAAGGACAGAUAAUAGGAAGACAUAAUAAAAUACCAUGCUCUUAUUUUCUCAAUUUAUUUGCAGUAAAAUUAUUCUCUAUGUUUAGGAUUAAAAUAAUUUGGGAUCUACUUGGUUCUUAAAUGUAGAGUAAAUAAGUAAGUUUUAUGAACACAAGACACACAUACCACUGGACUGUUUGGACCAAAAUAGCUUGCUUCACAAAUUAUAAGUAAGAAUUUCAUCCAGAAAAAAUAUAUGAAAGCAUUAAAAUUAUUCACAGCCUAUUUAUGGUAUCAUUUUACCUCAAUUGUUUCAACUAGGGGAGAAAAAAACACACCUAAAUUUCUAUAAUUGCACUUUAUUAAUUCUACAAAAAUACAAUGAAAAAGAAUACAAAAACUAUUAAAUUUGAAAAAUUAUAUGUUGUUUAUAUUCAAAUGAAAUUAUCCGAAAACAUUUUCUUGCAUUUUUUUUUGCCUCAUCCCAUCAGAAGUUUAUAUAUAACUCUGAUCUUGUAGUAUUUAGCAAAAUUCUCUCCUGCAUAACUAUGCUAACUAGGCAUCUUCAUGAAUGUUUAGUUUAAUCAAAAUGUCAAAAAUAGAAACCUUCCCAUAAUGCAAUACAAUUUCUUAAUCACUUCAUUGACAAAACAGUAAAAUAUCUUUGUUAUAUUCCUUUAUAUAUAUAUAUAUAACAACCCAACAAUGUUAGAUCUGUAAAUUUGCUUUCGCAUCUAACAUUGUUGGGUUGAUGUUUAGACGAGUUGCAUAUACAUAAUGUACACAGCCAUGUAUCACCAUCAUUGAUAAAUUGAUAAAUCUGUUGUAGAGUUGUCACUGACUCAGACGUAUAUAUUUCACCUUGAGAGAUGCACACGCCUGAUGAAGCUAAUUUGUUUAGCGAAAUAUUGCGUAUUUCUAUUUAACAUCUAAUAGAACUUUUUAAUGUAUUAAUUAGUGUGUUUAAGUUAUAUUCUUAGACAUUUAUAUAAUUUUAAUUCAGUAACUGUAUCAGUUUAUUUUCACAAACUGAUCCACGCU